rnacentral:rRNA from 1 species
AGUUCGAUCAUGGCUCAGAUUGAACGCUGGCGGAUGCUUUACACAUGCAAGUCGAACGGCAGCACGGACUUCGGUCUGGUGGCGGUGGCGAACGGAGUGAGUAAUGUAUCGGAACGUGCCUAGUAGCGGGGGAUAACUACGCGAAAGCGUAGCUAAUACCGCAUACGCCCUUCGAGGGAAAGCAGGGGACCUUCGGGCCUCGCACUAUUAGAGCGGCCGAUAUCGGAUUGGCUAGUUGGUGGGGUAACGGCUCGCAAGGCGACGAUCCGUAGCUGGUUUCAGAGGACGACCAACCGCACUGGGACUGAGACACGGCCCAGACUCCUACCGGGAGGCAGCAGUGGGGGUACGGACAAUGGGGGGAAACCCUGAUCCAGCCAUCCCGCGUGUGCGAUGAAGGCCUUCGGGUUGUAAAGCACUUUUGGCAGGAAAACGGCACGGGAUAAUACCCCGUGCAACUGACGUCUGCAGAAUAAGCACCGGCUAACUACGUGCCAGCAGCCGCGGUAAUACGUAAGUGCAAGCGUUAAUCGGAAUUACUGGGCGUAAAGCGUGCGCAGGCGGUUCGGAAAGAAGAUGUGAAAUCCCAGAGCUUAACUUUGGAACUGCUGUUUUUAACUACCGAGCUAAGAGUGUCAGAGGAGGGUGGAAUUCCGCGUGUAGCAGUGAAAUGCGUAGAUAUGCGGAGAAGACACCGAUGGCGAAAACAGCCUCCUGGGAUAACACUGACGCUCAUGCACGAAAGCGUGGGAGCAAACAGGAUUAGAUACCCUGGUAGUCACGCCCUAAACGAUGUCAACUAGCUGUUGGGGCCUUCCGGGCCUUGGUAGCGCAGCUAACGCGUGAAGUUGACCGCCUGGGGGAUACGGUCGCAAGAUUAAAACUCAAAGGAAUUGACGGGGACCCGCACAAGCGGUGGAUGAUGUGGAUUAAUUCGAUGCAACGCAGAAAACCUUACCUACCCUUGACAUGUCUGGAAUCCGAAGAGAUUUGGGAGUGCUCGCAAGAGAACCGGAACACAGGUGCUGCAUGGCUGUCGUCAGCUCGUGUCGUGAGAUGUUGGGUUAAGUCCCGCAACGGGCGCAACCCUUGUCAUUAGUUGCUACGAAAGGGCACUCUAAUGAGACUGCCGGUGACAAACCGGAGGAAGGUGGGGAUGACGUCAAGUCCUCAUGGUAACCCUUAUGGGUAGGGCUUCACACGUCAUACAAUGGUCGGGACAGAGGGUCGCCAACCCGCGAGGAGCCAAUCCCGAAACCCGAUCGUAGUCCGGAUCGCAGUCUGCAACUCGACCGCGGCCGUCGGAAUCGCUAGUAAUCGCGGAUCAGCAUGUCGCGGUGAAUACGUUCCAGGUCUUGUACACACCACCGUCACACCAUGGGAGUGGGUUUUACCAGAAGUAGUUAGCCUAACUGCUAAGGAGGGCGAUUACCACGGUAGGAUUCAUGACUGGGGUGAAGUCAUGUGAGUAA